CACGUACUGUGCGAACGUUAUUCGGAAUCACUGGGCUUAAAGGGUGCGUAGGCGGCAAUCUAAGUCAGAUGUGAAAUGCCUGAGCUUAACUGAGGCACUGCGUUUGAAACUGGAUUGCUUGAGUAUUUCAGGGGUGUGCGGAACUGCCAGUGGAGCGGUGAAAUGUGUUGAUAUUGGCAGGAACACCGGAGGCGAAAGCGGCACACUGGGAAAUAACUGACGCUGAGGCACGAAAGCCAGGGUAGCGAACGGG
rnacentral:misc_RNA from 1 species